UCGAACUUCUAUUAAAUAGUUUAUAUCAUCCCCGUUUCUUCUUUCAUUUACUUUCGUUCCAGCUAAAGUAUUUCACUUGAUUAUAAACCUUGAUUCACAUUCAGUUGCAAGGAAUUUCGAAGCCUCGUGUUCAAAAAAUAUUUUCAGCACUUUCUACAUUUAGAGGUGAACAAUCAUAAGUUCCCACAUCUAUCAACCGCCGAUGUUGAAUUCAAAUUUAUUGGAAAGUUGAAAUUAGAGGGUAAUGAAUAUGCCACCCUACUGCUUGCUAUGCACGAUUUCUUUUUUCAAGAUAAUCAUGAGAGCAUAAAUACUUUGGGCGAGAUUGCUUCUAGUUCUGGUAUUGAUCUGGCUUACUAUAUCCAUGCAAUAGCAUUGCUAUGUUUGGCUGAACAUGGUCUAGGAAAAUCCGCGUUGUCUAGUUUGUCAGAGAAAUUACACGGCCAUCCGCGAGGCUGACAUGCAUGGAAGAAAUGUCGGAGCCAAACUAUCGUGCUGCUAGGUGAAUACAAUUUACACAAAGUACCUCAAAUUACGAUUUGCAAAAUUGUAGGACCCGGUCACUUACAUCCUAGUAUUUCUGGGGAUACUAUUUUUAACGUGAAGCCAACAUGUUCUCAAUAUAUUGCAUAUGUCGAAACAUGGAUAAUCAGAAUAUCGGUAAUCGAAACAUUUGAUGAUGAGGAUGUUUGAAACAUGGAAAGACACAAGCAAUACUAAUGGUCAUAUCUUUAUCAUAUAAAAGGAGCUGUCAUAAUUAAUUCAGGCACGAUGAUCUCUUAUUAAACCUGUUAAAUGGCCGAUUUGACCGGGCUGGGCCAAUUCUUUUUUUCGGACUUGGUUAACCCGGUUCAGGCCCACCAAUUAACCGGCUUGGCUUGGUCCGGUUAAUUAAAAUAAAUUAGCUUUUGACCGUUUAGGCCAAAGUAGUCGUUGGGCCCAACGGCUAUAUGACCGUUUGGAGUCAAAAACGGCUACUUGGCCCUUUUUAUUAGAAUUUUUUUUUAAUUUAAAAUAUUUUUUCAAAUCCAAAAAAAAUCCUAUAAAUACUCUACACUUUCAAAUCAUUUUCCACACAAUUUUCAUUCUCUCAAAUCUCAAUUCUCAAAUAUUCUACAUAUCUCCCAAAGUGCUUAAUUUUAUUUUUUAAUUUUGCAAUUACAAAUACGAGUGAAAGUUUUCUAAAGUCGCAACUUUCGGAUACUUCCAAAAUUUGGUAUUGUCAUUCCAUCUCUUACUUUUAAUUUUUAAUUAGUGUAUUGAUUGUUGAAUAUUUAGUUUUAUUAUUUUUGUGUGUUUUGAAUUUAUUUUAGUUUGAUUUAUAUUAUGGAUAAAUUAAGAAACCUUGGUAAAAGUGUCAAAACUUUUCGUCCCGAAAGUGGUAGUGGUAGUAAAAAGCGAAUUAUUGGUUGUAGAGGUAGUUCAAGUAGUAGAUAUACCUGUGUGCUUGCGGUACCAUUUAGUCAAUCUUUUAAGGAAGAAGUAGGUGUAGGUGCUCACGAUAUGGAUUAUGCAGAAGCUCAAAAAAAUUACGGUAUAGAAGAAGAAAAUGAAGUAGAUGUGGUUAAUUUAGAUGACGAUGAUGAAAAUAUUAGUGAGACACCUGCAGUAGAAAAUGCUAAUGUUAGAUCUGAAUUGAUUAAUCCCCUCCCCGUCCUCCCCGUGCCCAAAGAGCUCGUAGACCAACUAGUAUUGCAUGAGAAUUUUUUACACGUAUAGGAGGAGAAACUAAGGUACAAUACAAUAUUUGUCAAAAAGUAUAUGAGCAUAAAAGAAGAGGCAAUCCAGGGGGUACAGGUACGUUAGAUGAGACAUAUAAGAGAUAAUCACUAAAGAGAGUUAUUUAUUGCACAAGGUGGUGAGGCUGUUGGUGGGCUAACACAAACUAGAAUGGACCCAAAAAUCAGUCAGGUAAUUAAAAAUUAUAAUAAAUUAAGGGACCGGGAAGAAAUAACAAAAAUAGAAGCUGUGGGUUGUUUGCCUUUCAGUUUUCCUUUUCGGAUGCUUUUGUUCAUUAUAUUCAUGAUUAUACACUGGGUACGCUCUCUCUCUCUCUCAUACGCUCUCUCUCUCUUAACAACCAACGGUCUUCUUCUUCGACUGAUCAGUCGGUGUUGGCGCCGGUGACAGGUAAGGGUACCUUUGCUUUGUUUCUCUCCCUUAAGCUCUCUCCCUCUCCUUCAUCUCUCCCAUCUCUCCCAAAUUAUUUCUCUCUCUUUCUUCCCCUUCUUAGCAAUUUUAGCCACUGAUUUCACCGGCGGGACAAGGGUUUCCACCGGAUCGACUGCGGCGACGGGUACCAGAACACAGAUCUGGUAACAUCCAGGACACGCUCUAGCGAUAGCUAGAGCCAGCGAAGCUCCAGCGAAAUUUUUUUGGUGACUGUAUUUUCAGCAACCAACUUCGAAGCUAGAAUUAACGGCACCAUCAACACACGAGAUUACCUCGUAUUGAGGUGGGAACUUACACAACAGCUUCUCGGGAAGAGCUUAAGUAUUAUCUUCGAACGCUGCUAGAGGAUCACAGACGAAGGAUCAACGCGUUGGAUUGGUGGAAGAAUAAUGAAACACAAUAUCCUGGGAUUUCAAGAUUAGCUAGAGAUAUAUUGAAUAUUCCAAUGUCAAUCGUUGCAUCGGAGAGCGCUUUUAGUCAGGGACGACAACUGCUUGGAGAUAACCGACACUCAUUGGAAAGUAAUGCUAUGAAUGUUCUAGUUUACCUUAGAGAUUGGAUUAGAGCGGAAUGAAGAAAUCAAGGAAUGGAGGUGGAGCCGAAAGACGAACAAAAUCUUAAAGAAAUUAUGACUUCAAGGGAGAACUCAGCACAAUCAAGUCCAAUGCAUGGUUUUGCCCUCAUUGAUUUUGACUAUCAUAUGCCAAUUCCCGUUAAUGUUAACAUGGAUGAGUUGGAAAAAAUGAUGAAAACUUUGUAGAUUUUUCAUUCAUAUACAUUAUAAAUUUUGAAUCAUUUUAGAAUCAAUAAAAUAUAACCUUUCUUCACUCCUUACUUUGUAAUUUUUUCUAUUUAAUUAUUUAGAUUGAAUUUCUAGUUUAAAUU